rnacentral:rRNA from 1 species
GUGCCAGCAGCCGCGGUAAGACGUAGGGCGCGAGCGUUGUCCGGAUUUAUUGGGCGUAAAGAGCUCGUAGGCGGCUUGUUGCGUCGACUGUGAAAACCCGCGGCUUAACUGCGGGCUUGCAGUUGAUACGGGCAGGCUAGAGUUCGGUAGGGGAGACUGGAAUUCCUGGUGUAGCGGUGAAAUGCGUAGAUAUUGCUAGGAACACCAAUGGCGAAGGCAGCUUGCUGGGCUACUCCUGACAUUGAGGUACGAAAGCGUGGGGAGCGAACAGGAUUAGAAACCCUGGUAGUCC